CCAGCACAUGCGCAGUGUUGUGAAAGAGUAGCAGUUUCGGAUAUUCCUAUUAGGUAAACGAGGUGGAGGUCUAAGUAAGGCCUGUAUUGUAGGCUGAAAGAGCAUGAGAUUCUUAACACUUUUAUUUUCUACCCUAGAAAGAUUUCUAGGAUACUGACUGAAAUCUUUCCACGUUUAGAAAAGCAGUUUUCCAAGAAGCCUGUCCGUUAACACUUUGCAUUGCAGUGUUCUUCGAAACGUACAUUUUCCUUGGAUUUUACAGACAGUUUCCAACAGAUGGCUGCAUGCUGUAUCUCAAGGACUGUGAUGUUACGCUGGACCAGUCCCCCACGUUUGAAAAUGCUGUGUGGACCCUUCUAAUCAUGGGAGAUGGUUCACGCAGCUGCUUGGUUGCUGUAGCCUAGCCCCAGAACACUUCUGAAAGAAGCCUGUGGAACUAUAGAUGUGUUCUGGGUGACUGUUGAUCCGUGUUUGGGCCAAACACUGACAGUCUUAACACAAAAUCUUUCAAGUGUUUAGCCCAAACACUGACAGUCUUAACACCAAGGGCAUUAUGUGUUUGCUCCAAACACUGACAGUCUUAACAUAAGGCACUGUUAGUGUUUGGACCAAACACUGACAGUCUUAACAGACUAAUGCCUAAGUGUUCGGUCCAAACACUGACAGUCUUAACACAAAAGACUGUCAGUGUUUAGACCGAGCACUGACAGUCUUAACGGUCACCAGCUGUCAGUAUCUUUCAAUAUACUGACAGUCUCAACACAUCUAUAAUUCCAUUACAUCUACUCAGGAGUGUGAUGGGGGUGUAUUUCAUGAUACAGGAUACUGACAGUCUUAACUAGAUAUGUAUUGACAUACUAGGCUACAUACCAGGCUUUUCAUUUUAAAAUAAAAAUAGUGUAAAUGCUUUUUAAGCAUUUUUCAAGUCUCUCCAUUUAUAGAAGAUACUCUUUAAAAAAAAACUGGAAAUGUGAGAGCAGCUUUGAAUCUCAAAUUUGUUAAUCAUUAUGUUUUUAUGAUGAAAUACAAUUUAAAAGAUUGUAAAUAAUAAUAAUAAAAUUUUUUGUAUAGCUUCCUUUUAAAAUCAUUUUCUGUAAAUAAAGCUCUAAAUCCAUUUUAUGUCAAAUAUGGAAUAUGAAAAUUUCGUGUUGAAUUCCAUAGAAUCUGUUAAAAUUUCAGUAAAAAAUUCUGCUUUUCAUCUGCUGAAAACCACAGUAUUUUAUGCAGCAAAGUUUUUGAGAAUUGAACUCUAGAGAAUAAUUAAAACUAUUUUAAGCUUUUAAUUACUUGUCUGUUGGAAUAAAACGUUUAUGAUCAGUA